GCUGGCGGAGCGCUGCUGACGUCGACUGAGAAAAUUGUCAGGCGGUGGAAGGAAUACUUCGAGGACCUCCUUAAUCCCACUGACACGUCUUCCGAGGAGGAAGCAGAGUCUGGGGAUGAGGGGAAUGACCCGCCAAUUUCCGGGGGCGAGGUCACUGAGGUCACUCUUUGGUGGCAGAGCCCCUGGUGUUGAUGAGGUCCACCCCGAGUUCCUGAAGGCUCUGGACGUUGUAGGGCUGUCCUGGUUGACAUGCCUCUGCAAUGUUGCGUGGAGAUCAGGGGCAGUACCUGUGGACUGGCAAACCGGGGUGGUGGUCCCCAUCUUUAAGAAGGGGGACCGGAGGGUGUGUUCCAACUACAGGGGAAUCACACUCCUCAGCCUCCCUGGGAAAGUCUAUGCCAGGGUGCUGGAAAGGAGAGUUCGUCCGUUAGUCGAACCUCGGAUACAUAUAUCAUUGUGAUGUUGUUUAUUCUAUUACUCUUGUUCUCUUCUGAUUGUUUUCUUUUUUCUUUCUCAGCAGGUGAUCCAGGUGAUUGAUAUAUGCAUUUUUUUUUCUUUUUCUUUUUUUUUUCCUGCUCAUUCUGUUGGUUUUUGUUUUUUGCCCUUCUCCCCUGUCCCUCUUCUCAGCUGUUUCUCUUUCCCUCUUUCUCUCUCCCCUUCUUUCCCCCAGUCAAGUCUGUCCCGUAUUCAGUAAGUGAAAAUAAAAUGAACAAUAAAAGGUGAAUCAAAUGGACCAUUACGGCAAGGCUGGGAUGGUCAAUUUGGUAAAGUAAAUCCGUUGGGCAUCUUUCUUUGCCUUUAGACAACAAUUCUGAUGGCAAAAGAGCCAAACGGGACAGGCAAAAAAAAAAAAAAAAGAAGAAGUCCAGACGCUUUUCUUUGCAAGCUCCUUGACUACGAUGACCUGGAUGACUGAGAACCUUCACAGACAAAGCCCCCAGUGUUUCAUUAUGCACUUUGUAACAUUGCUGUUAAGGACUUUAGACAAUUAAUGUUUGUUAGUAUUAUAAUAAGUAAGUAAAGUUAAUUUAUUAAGCAUUUUCCACAGACAAACAGUCACAAAGUGCUGCACACAAAAAGCAUAAAAUAAACAAGAGCAUUACCUGGCAUAACAGCCAGUUAAAAAGAUACAAUUAGAGACAAUAAAUAAUCUGAAAAAAUCUUUCAAUAGAAAUCCCGUUUUUAAAAAAAGUCAGAGAAACAGCAUAGUUACAGCUGUUCCACCGCUUCUGUCAGAGAUCGG
ensembl:lncRNA